GAGAGCAGGUCAUCCUCGGAUCCGACCUCGUCGGAGUUGCCAGGCUGCGGAUCGGCGGCGGCGGCUAGAUCGAGGUCGGUCGGGAUCCGGAAUGCCAUCUCGGAGUGGGCCCGGCGGUGGUGCGGACCCCGGAAGAGGGGCGGCGCCGCCGCUGAUGGCGCCGAAGCCGGCGCAUUGGGGCGGGGGAGGUUAGGGUUAGGGUUAGGGUUA
rnacentral:misc_RNA from 1 species